AAGUUAUGAAAUCUACUCUGUGAAGAAAUUGUCCCCUGUGCAGAAAUUUAGCAAAAGUAAUGCCAUGAUCUAAGCCUUAAGGACAAUCAAAGUCACUAAGGUCCCUGAAGAUGGCUACAAAU
rnacentral:snoRNA from 1 species